UACGAAGGGUGCAAACGUUGCUCGGAAUUAUUGGGCGUAAAGCGCACGUAGGCGGCUUUUCAAGUCGGAUGUGAAAUCCCUCGGCUUAACCAAGGAAGUGCAUCCGAAACUGGAAGGCUUGAGUACUUAAGAGGAUCGCGGAAUUCCCGGUGUAGAGGUGAAAUUCGUAGAGAUCGGGAGGAACACCAGCGGCGAAGGCGGCGAACUGGAUAGGCACUGACACUCAACAACGAAAGCGUGGGGAGCAAACAGG
rnacentral:rRNA from 1 species